GAUGAACGCUGGCGGCGUGCCUAACACAUGCAAGUCGAACGAAGCUCUUACGACAGAACUCUUCGGAGGGAAGAUGUAAGAGACUGAGUGGCGGACGGGUGAGUAACGCGUGGGUAACCUGCCCUAUACAGGGGGACAACAGUUGGAAACGACUGCUAAUACCGCAUAAGCGCACAGUACCGCAUGGUACAGAGCGAAAAACUCCGGUGGUGUAGGAUGGGCCCGUGUCUGAUUAGCUAGUUGGAGGUGUAACGGACCACCAAGGCGACGAUCAGUAGCCGGCUUGAGAGAGUGAACGGCCACAUUGGGACUGAGACACGGCCCAAACUCCUACGGGAGGCAGCAGUGGGGAAUAUUGCACAAUGGGGGAAACCCUGAUGCAGCAACGCCGCGUGAGUGAAGAAGUAUUUCGGUAUGUAAAGCUCUAUCAGCAGGGAAGAAAAUGACGGUACCUGACUAAGAAGCCCCGGCUAACUACGUGCCAGCCGCCGCCGUAA
rnacentral:rRNA from 1 species